UUCGGUCUUUGGAGCGGCGUGGAACCACCCCUUCCCAUUCCGAACAGGAACGUGAAACAUGCCAGCGCCGACGAUAGUGGUGGGGCAACCCACUGCGAACAUAGGUCAAGGCCGAAG
rnacentral:rRNA from 1 species